CGGGUUCGUUGUCUAUCUCUCGGUAGAUACUCUAGUAGAGGGACUCUUGCUGGCUGGCGGGAGGACCUGCGCAACGCUAGAGUAGUAGCUAACAAUGUAGACGUGGUGUCUAGGUUAGAGGUUACCCUCGUUUGCCUCGUACCCCACGGUUGAGGGGUCGGCAGCAGGUGGUGACAGCCCUGUUUGUCCUUAGUUUCCCCCACGUCCGGAUACGGCGUAGAGCUACACGCCGGUAUUACCUGGCAGACCAGGUACGCUCCGGUGCCCGAAGUAAGAUUAGAAAAGCACGUUGCCUUGCACAAAACUUCUACCAUUAGGAGAACCUCACUACCUAAGUCAUACCUCUCACUUUACUCUAGGGUACACUUAGUUUAAGUCUCAAAACACCUCCAUUCCCUGUGAAAUCUCGAUACCCUGAAUACCACCGGGUGAAGUGCUACAACGGUACUUCCGUGCGCUUGCGGAUAAUUGGCUACAUCGCUAAGAAAUACCAACAACGAGCAGCUUGAUACGACUCCCACCAUGUCUGAGUUGCACCUUGAUGUUGUCCAGAAGCAUACAACACUUUUUCCAUAUCAUUGCACUAGGCUAUGUUUAGUUGCCUCUCUACAGCACGAAGCCAAUUGUCUGCCUCCAUAGGAUCAGCUGAGUGUGUAAACACCAGAGGUCUUCCCUUUAUAAAUUCGCCACGCUUAUCUCUCACAUGAACAGGUGGUGGUGGUGGUGGAGGUUGCUGCUGUAAGUGCUGCAUAAAAACGUGCAUCAUCUCAUUUUGGGUUUGCAUGAGUUCCUCCACAGUAAUUGGGGCAUUGCCACCACUGCCACGGCCUCUGCCUCUACCUCUUCCCCUUGCUACCAUCUGCAUUCCAAGGUAUAGAAACAUGUCUUAGUAAUGUCCAACAUGACAAUUACAAGAGGUAACAGAAUCUGAAAUUUUUUGGGUAACAUCCAACAUCAGCAGAUCAGAAAAUCAGUCAUAUCUCGAGUUCCAGAAUCCAAAAGGCUACGUGCUGUAAACCGUUGGAAAGAUAAAGCAAUUGUCUACAACUUUCAUUUAGAUCAUAUUAACAGAUUCCAAAGUUAAGUUAAUCAAAAACUGGGUACAACUGAAACUGUCCAGAAUUCCAGACUGCGCAGAAACCUCAAUUUUAAACUGCCAUAACUCACCGCUCAUAACAGAUAAUAAUGUCAUUCUUGAGGCAUUAGAAAGAUAUGAAAGUCUACUUGUUCCCAGAAAAAGUUGAUGAACUUUGCACGCACAGAUUUUGAUUUAUACCAGAAUCAUUACAGACUGCUCCAGAAAACAGCGAAGGACAGAAACAGAAUUUUACCCAAACCCAACUAUUUAGUUCAUUAAUCCUUAUAACUUAGGCCUAUAAACUAAAUGAAAUUGUAGAGAAAGUCCACAAGAUCAUUACAAUCAUUACAAAGAUCCAAAUCAAGCAUAAGCAUAAUAACAAACCAAACCAAGCAUCAAAGGUUCACACUUCAAGCAUUAACUCAACUUGUAGUACUAUCGUUCUCUUCCUAUUAAGGUAAAGAUCCUAUAACUCCUAUUUUAAAGACGCCAGAAAGUGGUAAGAAGAGGUUCUAAAAGCAUAUCAAGCAAGGAGUGGGGAUGAGAACAAGUCUUUAAAAUAAGCAACAAGGUGAAGAUGAAUAGCAAUGGAAAGGAUAUAGUAUAGCAGAAAAUAUCAAGGUUUAUAGAAUAAGGAUUUUAUAACAAUUUCAAGACCUUAAGACCACCAAUUUCUAACUAGGCUUGCGUCCGACAGUCAACAAAGCUUUGAUACCAAUUUGUCACACCCAUAUUUUAAGCACAAAAUAGGAUGCAUAAAAGACUCAUAUGUGCCCAGAAAUAGUCGCACACAUAAGUAGACAAAUCUCAAAUGUACCAUUGCAGUGUUUAUUACAUAGCGGAACAUAAUAAAUCAUAUAGUCUUACACAACAAUGAUAAUAAUAUUAAACAAUGCUCUCGACGGAAGCUCCACACAGGGACACUGUUGACUAGUUGACUCCAAACCUAAAACUCAUAGCGAUAGUCCUCAUUCCAAUCAUCAUCAUUAGCAUAACCUGGGGUGUUGGGAAAUUGCAAGAGUGAGCACAUAUCGUACUCAACAAGUAUAACCAGGGGUUCAUGAGGCUCAAAUAGCUGACACUGGUUUGACUGCAUUUAGCUUUUAAUAGUGGACUAGGUUAAUGCCCGUACGUUGUUACGGGUUUUGAAAUUCAUAUACCCUCUGUUUCUUCAUUGUUAUUUUAUUUUUCUGUCUAUAUUCUUCCUUUUUCAUUUAUUUCAGUUUUUGUUUUUUUGAUUUUAUUUUAUUUUCUGUCCUUUCCUUAUUCUUUUCUUGUUUUAAUUUUACCUUUUAUUUACUUUUCCUUUUGGUUUUAUUUUUAUUGUUCUUUCUUGCUUCUAUUAGUUUUUCUGUUUUCUUUUCACAUUUUCUAUGUUUCUUCAUUCUUAUUUUAUAUUUUAUUUCCUUUUAAUCUUAUUUUUAUCCUUAUUUAAAUUAUUCAUUAAUUUUAUUUGCUCUAUGCACUUUUUACCAUUUGUUAAUUAUGUUUGUUUUUAUAUUUUUUUCUUAGUAAUUUUUUUUCUAUAUAUAUGUGGUAUUUAUGUAGUAUAAUUUAGUGUUCUAUGUUGUGUUAUGUCAUGUUUACGUAGUAUAUAUGUGAUAUUCUAUAAUGUUUCUUACGUUGUUCACUUGGUAUACAUGUAAUCUAUAAUAGAUAUGAUGUUCUAUAAUAUAUUUAAUGAUAUUAUAUGAUGUAUUUAGUAAUGUUAAUGUUCUAUAAAUAUAUUUAUGAUAUUUGAAAAGUAACUCUUUGACAUUAUUUGAAAUUUUUCUCCAUUUUGUGUUUUUCUUUUUUUUCUUAUGCUUUUUACUCUAGAUUUUUUUAUUAUUUUUAUCUAUGUCAUGUAUUUUUAUGUAUAUUGUAAUAUCAGUGUCAUAAACCUAAAAGCAAAAUACUAUUCUUCUAAAUCGAUAACAUUUUUUUACAAAGACAGAACAUUGUCUAUUAAACCUAGAAUAUUGUUUCUACUUAAUAAAAGAAAAUAUUUCAUCUUUAUAAGAUAAAUAUUCAUUAAUAAAAUUUUAUCUAAAUAUAUCCAUGUGUGAUUUCAUUUUGAUGGAUUUGUUAUAAGAAAUUUAAUGGUGCAAUCAGAAUUUAAUUUAUAUCUCUAGUUUAGGAGUUAUGACUUUUUUUCAUUCACUAAAACAAUUUUGCAUACAUAGGUGAGUGGGGCCUAGGUUGAUGGGAUAGCGUGUCAUCGCGCAAUAAAAAAGACCACCAAAAGGAUUUAAGUUGUGGAUGAGUCCUCUCCAUAAUUUUUAGUUGUAGAGAUAAAUAUUCAUUAAUAAAAUUUUAUCUAAAUAUAUCCAUGUGUGAUCUUGUUUUGAAGGAUUUCAUAUGAGAAAUUUAAUGGUACAAUCGGAAUUUAAUUUAUAUCUUCGGUUUAAAAGUUCUGAUUUUUUUAAAUUCGCUAAAACAAUUUUGCAUGCAUGGGUCAGUGGGGCCUAGGUUGAUGGGAUAGCCUAUCAUGGCUAAAUGGGAUGGGAGUUGUGGCUUCACCAUGGGUGUGGUAGAUGGGUCCUUUUCAUAAUUUUUAGUUGUAGAUAUUGCAUGUUCAUAUUUAAUAACAAAUGUCAAGGUAGCAGUAAUAAUCCAUUAAUCACAUGAUCAAAUGUAAGCAUAAUUAAUUCAUAGCAUAAACGAUAAUCAAAUGAACAUAACAACUUAAUAAGCUCAUCGUCGUUGCAGCAAGAACCUCCCAGGCCGCUCUUAACCGUGAGCACGACUAGUAUACUAGUUUUAACACUCUGCAGAGGUUGUACAUCUUUACCCACGAGUCAUGAUUUACCCUUUCACCCCAGGUAGCUAAUCUCUUAACCCCCUUCCUAGGGAGGUCGGCAGGGAUCACUAUGAAGCCUUUCAAAAGUUCGUCUAACAUGUUAGGGCCGCAAGGUUUCCUUUGCGAGCAGAUAUAGAUACCCUCCUUCCGAAUGGCACAAUGACGCGCAGCCUAUACACAUAGGGACAGGGGCUCGCACUAUACCCGUGUCGGUUCAGCCCCUCCACCCUUUCGGGUAACCUCUAACAAGCUAGAAAAGGUCUUCAUACUGAGCUAAAGCCAUAGCCAUUAUAGCACUCAUGGUUGCACUGUUGUCCCGGUCAUCACUUACACACAAGAUCUUAUAUAGUUAUUUGUCAUCUUUUAACGUUCAUUGCAUAGCUAUUAAUCAUCUUACAAGAUCAUGGAUUAUAUCAAGCACUAGCACAUCUACACCAAAUGCAUAUCAAGUAGGUAGCAAGGAAUCCAGGUAACAAUCAUCUAUGAUUUUGCUAAGGUCGACAUGGUGAUAGCAUGCAUAUGAUAUAUAUGUGUGGUUAUAAGUGAAUAGGUAACAAAGAUGAUUCCAAGUUAUACUUGCCUUGAUCAAAGCUCUCCUGAGCCUGCUGGUCCUCAAAGGCUUGGUCUUGAUCACCAACGUACGGCUCACCGUCUAUUCCCAAACAUCAAUCAACAAUACGCAAUCCAAUGUAGACAAUCAUACACAAAGCAAACAAGCUAUAAUUAGAACAUUACACCAACAGUGAGAAAUCAAAGAUAAAAGUUUCUGAAAAUAUUCUACGCAGCGCUACGAUCACACAAACGUAAAGUUCACGAAAAUCGGAAUUAAAACGUAGAAGAUAUGAAUUUUCUAAGAUUUCCUAUAGAGAAAUAAUUAAUUAAAUGCUACUGCAGGAUUAAAAAGUUUGAAAACAGUAAACUAAUACUUCUAACAUGUAGAGCUCUUGAAUAUGAAUCUAACGAAAUUUGAAUGGACAAAAACGGAGUUAAAACGAAUAUUUUAUGAUCAAAACAAAUUCAAUGGCAUUUCUGUAAAUAGUGAAAACGUAUUUUGAAUGAAGCCGAUAGGAAAUACGUUUUCAAAACUUAGAAAGCGUAAAACAGGGGAUACGCCAAGGGACGGCGGGUUGAUACACAACUUUUCCAGGGGUUUUUUAACAUAAAGUGCA
rnacentral:lncRNA from 1 species